rnacentral:lncRNA from 1 species
AUAAAUGUAUCAUUUGUUUAAAUUUAAAAAAAUGGCAGAUUAAUUGAACUGGAGUGUAGAAGAUGUUUGCGUAUACUUGACUCCCAGAACUUAGACAACAAAUGUUUUGCAGUUUAUGACGUAUAAUUCAUUGUUAGAUGCUAUACAGACAUACAAAGAAGAAAUGAUUACAAAGUAUCGUGUCGCAAAGGAAUCAAAAGAUUUUUCAAAAGAUGAUAAUUCUUCAAACGACUGCGACUUCAGAAAUCUCACGUUAAUUCGUACAUCUAAUUUCAAGGAAAAACAUUUAUAUAUUGGACAAUGGAUUUAACACUAGAAAACUUUUUUUUAUAAUUGAUGACAUAUUUUUAUAAACAU